rnacentral:rRNA from 1 species
GUCUACGGCCAUGCCGCCCUGAACAAGCCCGAUGUCCGAUCUCGGAAGCUAAGCAGGGUCGGGUCUGGUUAGUACUGGGAUGGGAGACCACCUAAGAAGACCAGGUGCCAUAGACA